rnacentral:rRNA from 1 species
CCGGCGACCGGCGCACGGGUGAGUAACACGUAUGCAACCUGGCCGUGACAGAUGGAUAACCGGGAGAAAUCCCGCCUAAUGCAACAUAAUGCCGGGAGGGGACAUCCCCUGCCAGCCAAAGGGGGCGACCCCGGUCACGGAUGGGCAUGCGGCGCAUUAGGUAGUUGGUGGGGCAACGGCCCACCAAGCCGACGAUGCGUAGGGGUUCUGAGAGGAAGGUCCCCCACAUUGGAACUGAGACACGGUCCAAACUCCUACGGGAGGCAGCAG